AUCUAAAGAACAUGUAAAUCUUCAGACAUUUUGUAAAUAUAAAAUAAUAACAAAAUUAUCGCACAAAAAGAUUUGAAUUUUACAGUUUCGUGAAAAGAUCGUUUUGACAAUUCGAUCCGUUAUAUUCGUAUAUCGUUCAAACGACUAUUUCGUCGUGACGUCAUGUUCAAAUACAAAAUUUAUUACAAUCAAAAAAAAUAUUUUUAUUUCUCAUAUACGGAGGUAGUAGUAUUAUUACGUCAACAAUACUUAUUGACGGUAGUAAUAGAUUUAUAUUAGUUCGUAAUUCCUUCGUUUCGUUUAAAAUUUAAGUACUGCAACUGCGCAAAACGACUUGUAGGAAAAAAUGAAUGUAAGUAUUUUGUUAAACGAAUUUGUGAACAAAUUGUAUCUGUAACUUUGAAACAAAGAAGAAGAAAAAAAAAAAGAUAUUAAUCCCGCAUUAAGCAUGCAUCAUUUUUGAAGAUCUGAUUCUAAUAUCAUCGAAGUUUCGAACCUAACCUAAAGUAGUGAUGGGAAUAACACCCUCGCAAACACUGUUCAAACAAUUUAAGCGAGUAUUUAUGGUUCAAAGUAUUUUUGAUAACAUUGAUUAGAAUAAACUUUUUAUCAAGACUUGGAAGUAUGUAUAUCCUAUCCACUGUAAUAUUUACUGAAAUCUAAAUUGCUCCAUACAUGACGAUCCAUCGAUGAAAUUUACAAAUGGCAGUAUUUAAUGUGAACGUAACGAUAAUGAAAUAAAUCUCUGUACAAUCGCAAGUAAGAUUUCUAAUAUCUAUUAUGUCUUAUUUGAUAUAUAUAUAUUUUUCAGUCGAUCUUUCCUUCCAUGAUGUUCCGUUAUAACAAGAUUCGAAUUCCUAUUGCAAGUUAUUAAAAUGGACUAAAACGACGAACUUUUAUCGAUUGAAUUCUAUCGAACGAUAAAAGCGAAGCAGUCACACUACUAACCUAAACGGUUUCUCUCCAGAGUGCGUUCUAAGAUGCGUUUUGAGGGUGCUGGGUCGCGCAUACGACUUGCCGCAAAUUCUGCAAAGGUUAGGUCUUCCAUUGUCGUCGGGUGUGACUGGGUUCCCAGUGGCGCCUACACACAGAGCAUGCUCACUGGACAAUUGCAGUCUGGAAUGGCCGUGCGUCGAGGGAUGAGAAUGUGGAUGGGUACUGGUGCCGAUCAGGCUAUUGGCCGGGGGUUGAUUCACCCUUGCCUGCUGCUCCACAGGAUUAUAUUGCUGGGCGGGACUUAACAGGGGUUCCACGCCCCACGCGGACGAAUAGCUUUGCUCGUAUCUACGCAUACAACCAUGAACCUCUGAAUAACUCUGCUUUUACACCCUCUUAGAUGCGCACCCUCUUUCCCGACCAAAAUGACAUGGCUGGCGUGGAUGCGUAAUGCGUAGGUGGGACAGGUGGGCCAAGAUUUUGUGUAUAAUCCUGGGAAUAAUGAUGGCUCGAACCUCCUGUGGAGUAGUAUCCACCGGUAGGACUUCCGGGAUGGACCACAGCAUGUUUUAACGAUAGUAAUACAUCUGCGACACCUUCCCCGUUCGUAUUGCUCGUUCUUGGCGCACAUUCUCCUCUGGUGCAACCCCAACUGCAAGGACACUUAAAAAUUACAAGGUCCCCGAGCAUGGACUGAAGAGACCAGGAGGUAAAGGAUCCAAGUCCAGCGGCGGCAAUGGAAAGCCAGCCAUGUCGUCCACCCAGAAACUUGCCCCAAACUCGCUGACCACUUGGUUUUGUCCAGAGUUUUGGAUCUGUUGCGUUUGAUCGCCAGCAAUGUCUUCCGGAGAAUUUUGCAGAUCCUGCAGACGGAGGGUACCCUGUAGAGCACCCAGUGUCUCUUCGUUUUGAUUAUCUGUUAAGGUGUCUUCGCUGGAUAGGACACCCAGAGGCCCGGUGCACAGGCCGGAAGGUAUGGUGGCCUCGAUACUUCCUACCGAACCUGCGAAUCGAAGAGACACGCCAGGAAUAUUGUGGCUCACCUGUGCCAAGGGUGUACGGCGGUUCGGAGGUGUUCACCGUGUGAUGAUUCUGCAGAAACUCCAUCUCUGCGAAAUUUCUGGUCGCAGCCGCCCUUAGAGACACCCCCUUCCCCCGCCUCUCGACAAAAUACACGGACGGAUUGCCUCCUCUCUGUAGAGAUGUGGUCCAGCCCCUCUGGUCUCCCUAGCAACCGCACAUUGCUCCACAUUUCUAAUGUCUGUCCUAUCCCAACAGAAUUACAUAAAAUCUCUUUCAUCACUGUUCACCUCUACGAUUGAAUCUUCAGUCUGAUCUUGAAGCACAGAGAAGACAUAAUUGCACUACGUACACUGUUCCUCCUCUGCUGUGAAAUAUCCAAAGGAACAUCCAAAGGAAUCCAGAGGAAAGUUAACAAGUCGAAUCACAAACUAGGUCCCGAUAUCAAUCUCCCGGUAAUA